GCGCGAAACCUCUGCAAUGCGCGAAAGCGUGACAGGGGAACUCUGAGUGCUACACCACGCGUGUAGCUUUUUGCAAGCUUAAGUCGCUUGUAGAAUAAGGGCUGGGCAAGACUAGUGCCAGCCGCCGCGGUAACACUAGCGGCCCGAGUGGUGUCCACGAAUAUUGGGUCUAAAGAGUCCGUAGCUGGCCCGUUAAGUUUCCUGUGAAAUCUCAGGGCUCAACUCUGAGGCGUGCAGGAAAUACUGGCGAGGCUUGAGAGCGGGGGAGGUCAAGAGUACUCAUGGGGUAGCGGUAAAAUGUUGUAAUCCUAUGAGGACUUCCAGUGGCGAAGGCGCUUGACCAAAACGCGUCUGACAGUGAGGGACGAAGGCUAGGAGAACGAAUCGG
rnacentral:rRNA from 1 species